ensembl:lncRNA
UAUAUAUAAUACACUAUAUUUAUAUAUAUAUAGUAGCAAUGAGAACUGUAUAUGUGUAUAUAUAUAUAGAUCCACUCAAAGUCUUUCCACAACUACUCUCCAAAAACUGUAAGUCUUCUGUUCCACUGGUGGAUCCACAUGAUCACCAUCACCAAUACCAGCAGUUACAUUAACUGUAACUUCAAGCGGCUUACAAAAGAAAUCUCUGUGUGCUGGUUAGCUCCCUGUGAUGUGACAACAGAGCGCAGUGAAAGUUAUAUGUUGUGUAAUGUGUACUGUGCUAUGUUAUUAUAAAUUUGUAUAUUCUACUUUGUACAGUGGUGCUUGAAAGUUUGUGAACCCUUUUAGAAUUUUCUACAUUUCUGCAUAAACAUCACCUAAAACAUCAUCAGCUUUUCAUACAUAUCCUACAAGUAGACAAAGAGAACCCAUUUAAAUAAAUGAGAGAAAAUGUUAUACUUGGUCAUUUAUUUAUUGAGGAAAAUGUUCCAGUAUUACAUAAGUGUGUUAACUCUUCCCACUUAUGGGAAGAGUGUGUGCAGGUCCAAUUGGGACCUAAGAGGGCAUUGAUAAGUUUACUGUGAACACUCUUCCCUUUCUUUUCCCUUGUGAACACACUCUUUGUUCCUCUGUUUACUCUUCCCAACAAGGUCUCCCCGAAUACCAUUUGUGUGCUUUUACAUACCUCCCUGAACAACAUCUGCUCGUAUUCCUAUGACUUCCUGAAAACCGUAUAUUGGGUUGUUCCUCUUACAUUGAUAUGCUUUCUGUUUCAUGCAAAUAUGCCCUUCCACCUAGCCAAUCAAUAGUUAACCCAUUGUCUCUGUUGUGUGUCAAGCAUGAUAUAUACUCUGCGUUUCUUUGAAUAAAUCAUAGCUCUUGCCAUUUUAACAUUGUGUGUCUGUGUGUUAUUUGGCAAACUCUCCCAAGCGCUUGGUGCGGGAAGUGUGUAGCGGGGUGAGGGUGCUGUCUUUCUUGUGUACUUUCAUUUUCUCUGUUCUUAAGAAUUGUAACCCGAAUAUUCUCAAAUCAUAACAUGUUAAAAUAGAAGUUCAAGGAUUUUUUUUUUCUUCUGCUAGCUCAGUUAUAUCAGUAUAAAUUAGAUUUAAUUAUUAAACAAACAAACUGAUCAAAUAAGGAUGACGACAGCAACAAGGUAAAAACAUGGGUUUUUAUGAAGAGAAAUGUACAUUUAAGUAAAUGUUUGUUUGUUCCCACCAAACAGUACAUUCUGAUGAUGUC